rnacentral:tRNA from 1 species
GCGCUCAUAGCUCAAUGGAUAGAGCAACGGACUUCUAAUCCGUAGGUUAGAGGUUCGAGUCCUCUUGGGCGCG